UACGAAGGGGGCUAGCGUUGCUCGGAAUCACUGGGCGUAAAGCGCACGUAGGCGGAUCUUUAAGUCAGGGGUGAAAUCCCAAGGCUCAACCUUGGAACUGCCUUUGAUACUGGGGAUCUCGAGUCCGGAAGAGGUUGGUGGAACUGCGAGUGUAGAGGUGAAAUUCGUAGAUAUUCGCAAGAACACCAGUGGCGAAGGCGGCCAACUGGCCCGGUACUGACGCUGAGGUGCGAAGGCGUGGGGAGCAAACAGG
rnacentral:rRNA from 1 species